AAUCAACGCUGGCGGCGUGCCUAACACAUGCAAGUCGAACGCGAAAGUCCCGCAAGGGAUGAGUAGAGUGGCAAACGGGUGAGUAACGCGUGGGUGACCUGCCUUCGAGUGGGGGAUAACGUUCCGAAAGGGACGCUAAUACCGCAUGACAUCCUGCUUUUGAAGGGGUGGAGAUCAAAGCCGGGGAUCGCAAGACCUGGCGCUUGAAGAGGGGCCCGCGUCCGAUUAGCUAGUUGGGGGGUAACGGCUCACCAAGGCUCCGAUCGGUAUCCGGCCUGAGAGGGCGGACGGACACACUGGGACUGAGACACGGCCCAGACUCCUACGGGAGGCAGCAGUGGGGAAUUGUUCGCAAUGGGCGCAAGCCUGACGACGCAACGCCGCGUGGAGGAUGAAGACCU
rnacentral:rRNA from 1 species